rnacentral:rRNA from 1 species
UACGUAGGUGGCAAGCGUUGUCCGGAUUUAUUGGGUUUAAAGGGUGCGUAGGCGGUCUUGUAAGUCAGUGGUGAAAUACGGCAGCUCAACUGUCGAGGUGCCAUUGAUACUGUAGGACUUGAGUACAGACGAGGUAGGCGGAAUUGACGGUGUAGCGGUGAAAUGCUUAGGUAUCGUCAAGAACACCGAUAGCGAAGGCAGCUUACUAGGCUGUAACUGACGCUGAGGCACGAAAGUGUGGGGAUCAAACAGG